rnacentral:rRNA from 1 species
AUUGAACGCUGGCGGCAUGCUUUACACAUGCAAGUCGAACGGUAACAGGCCGCAAGGUGCUGACGAGUGGCGAACGGGUGAGUAAUGCAUCGGAACGUGCCCAGUCGUGGGGGAUAACGCAGCGAAAGCUGCGCUAAUACCGCAUACGAUCUAUGGAUGAAAGCGGGGGACCGUAAGGCCUCGCGCGAUUGGAGCGGCCGAUGUCAGAUUAGGUAGUUGGUGGGGUAAAGGCUCACCAAGCCAACGAUCUGUAGCUGGUCUGAGAGGACGACCAGCCACACUGGGACUGAGACACGGCACAGACUCCUACGGGAGGCAGCAGUGGGGAAUUUUGGACAAUGGGCGCAAGCCUGAUCCAGCAAUGCCGCGUGCAGGAAGAAGGCCUUCGGGUUGUAAACUGCUUUUGUACGGAACGAAACGGCUCUCACUAAUACUGGGGGCUAAUGACGGUACCGUAAGAAUAAGCACCGGCUAACUACGUGCCAGCAGCCGCCGUAAUAC